CACGACUCUCGGCAACGGAUAUCUCGGCUCUCGCAUCGAUGAAGAACGUAGCGAAAUGCGAUACCUGGUGUGAAUUGCAGAAUCCCGCGAACCAUCGAGUCUUUGAACGCAAGUUGCGCCYGAGGCCAUUCGGUYGAGGGCACGCCUGCCUGGGCGUCACGCC
rnacentral:rRNA from 2 species